rnacentral:lncRNA from 1 species
CAUAGAAACCUGAAGCAAAUACAGAAGAAGAUUUAUGUGAAUUCCAAUAUUUGAACAAAAAGAGACAUUAGUGAUAUUUGAUUAUGCCCUAUGUAGCUCACAUAUUUGUUUACCUCCAGCAUAUGGUAUCAAGUGAUUUGCAUUUGUAAAAUUUUGGGAGUAUGACACUUGCCAUGAUACCUAGUUAUUUGUUGUAAGUUUAAGCAUGAGACAUGAUAGUGCCUCAUGCCGGGCCCAUCCUGGGGAACCACCUUAUCUGCCUUUCAUCAGUUGCAUGACACUGGACUUGAUGAGGGAUGGAAUUUGAUUCAGCUCUUGUUCUUUCACUCCCACUCAUUGGUGGAUUCUGGUAUUGUAUUUAGCCAAUCAUCUAAUUUUCUUUUAACCACUUCCACAGUGCACUUGGUUAGAUUUCCAAUAUCCUUUGUUGUACUAUUAAAGAUUUUAGGGCUAUUUAUUACUUAUAUAGAUUUAGAUAUAUACUAAGAAAAUUGAAAUUUGGAGGACCUUUCCAUUGUGAUGAUUAAUCCUUUAAGAAACCCUCAUAGGCACCACUAUUAGCAAUAUGGGUGCAACUAGAACAACCAGCUGUGUCAUUGAAGAUGCAAUUACUUUUUUAGCAGCUGGUGAAACCCUUAUUUUACUAUAUAUGUCAUUUAUCAGUCAGUAUCUUAAGCAAAGUCAUGGGCAUGACUUUUACUGUUGCUGUUAAUAUAAUCCUUCAGUAUUGUUAUUAUUAUUAUUAGCUCUAUAGAAUAUUUUAUAUGUCAUAUUACCUUGUCUUUACAUAGAUAGAUAUAGAUAUGGUGAUUAUGCUAUAUGUAGGAUUUCAAGUUAUGAUCCUACAUAAUAAUGCAAAUAUCUUGAAGAAAAACACACAACACACACAUGCACACACACGCACAUAAAUACUCGACAGGGAACAGCCCUUGAAUGCAUUGGUCAUUUAACCAAGGUGAAAGCUUUUUAAACACAGAGCCACAUCUGUAGGACAGUUUGGUAUCCUGCACAGGAUACAAAUAGGAUACAACUUGAAUUUGUUAUUAUUUUCUCUUUGAGCCCAAAUUCAAAGAAGAGCAAAUAUGAACUAAGAGAAAAAAAAUGCAUUAUGGAAGACACCAAAACAGUUCCUACAGUAUACAUUGAAACAUUUUGAUGAUCAGGGUUUGCAAGGGUAGGUUACAAAUGAUAAUUUUAUUUUAAGAAUAGAAAACUUUAGGUAUAACUUCUAGACUUUCAAAUCCCUUGUAAAAGAGAGUUUACUCAGAUAGGUUACAGUUUUGAGAUUUUCAGAACUAUGGAAAGGUUAGGGGGGGUGAAGAAAAUGCACUCCUACAAAUAGCCUUUUGCUGUCCCAUCUUCUUUAUUUUUCUUCACUUUCUUGGUAUGUUUCAGUCAAUCUAGCAAGAUUAUUUUAGACUGAAUCACCCCUUCUCGUUGCAUUAAUGUUUUACUCACUCUCACUUUCUCCACUGGUACUGAUGCUGAUGCUAACUGAAAGACAGCAAAGAAAUCAAAGUCAGCUUCAAGAACCCAUGGAUGAUGAAGGGUUCUCAUACUAGAACAGGAGGCUAAAGCAAGAGCAUCUAGCACUGAGAAGCCACUUGAAUGGAAAUGUACAAGACUGGGCAGAAAUUGGAGGGGAAAGAGCUGUAGGCAAACCAGAGCCCUGCUGUGAAGCUAAAGCUAUUCUCACCAGAUGGAAAUUAAUAUCACAAGUUGGUGAUUUUAGCAGCCCUUUGGUUAUGGAUAAUGGGCGUGGUAACUAUGUGCUAAUAUUGCGUCUUGGGGAUUAACAAGUGCUCUGCCUGACACGCCGGGAGUCUAUGUGAAUGUGGCUAGUAUGUAUAUAUGAAAAUUCAGUAUCUGUAAACCUUGGUAUUUAUAGUCAAUAGUGUGGCUAGGUAGUAUCAUUGUGCACUGAUGCAACUAUUAUUGAAGGAUACACACACAUACAAACAGUUUUGUUUACAUGGUAACAGAGGUGUCACUGGGUUGAUACUACAGAAGUGACUUAGGACAGCUGAUUUUGGGGUCCACUAGGUGAGCAAGGUGACCCCAUAAAACUAGAAUCUUAGGCCUAUCAAUUUAUCCAGCCUUUCACAAUGAUUGUAACUAAUUUCUUUUGGUGUGCUGACGAUUUAAGAUUUCUUGUGCCACUUUAUGGAAUUGUGUGUGCAAAAUUAGCUCUUAGAAAUCUCUAGGAAAUAUUUCAAGCUCAUUUUUUAUCACUAUAGACUUUAAUGCCAGUGGUGCUACCUGUUUCUAACCACUUUGAUUAGAGAAGCCUAGACGCUCCAAUGAAAGUGUUUCAGAAAGGAAGGAUGAAAUAAAUUGAUGAAGGACUUCA